UACGUAGGGUGCAGGCGUUAAUCGGAAUUACUGGGCGUAAAGCGUGCGCAGGCGGUUUUGUAAGACAGAGGUGAAAUCCCCGGGCUCAACCUGGGAACUGCCUUUGUGACUGCAAGGCUUGAGUGCGGCAGAGGGGGAUGGAAUUCCGCGUGUAGCAGUGAAAUGCGUAGAUAUGCGGAGGAACACCGAUGGCGAAGGCAAUCCCCUGGGCCUGCACUGACGCUCAUGCAUGAAAGCGUGGGGAGCGAUCCGG
rnacentral:rRNA from 1 species